GAGAUGAGUCCUGGUAGGUCUUUUUACUCAACUUUUGUCUUUCCGUUUUUGCCCUCGUGAUUCACGGUUUGACUUCUUCUCCGUUGAGUCGCGGGGCUGUGAUGGGUUGGCGACAGGCUGGAGAGAGGCCGGCGAGGUCGCGGCUACCCCGGCGACCGUCACCGACCAGUCGCGCCGACCUCAGCGAGUCGCGUCGCGGCGACCCAGAUCUGGAGGUCACGCGACCUCCGUGAGGGGCCGCCUGAGGUCGCGUGACCUCCGGCGAUCCAGAUCUGGGUCGCCGAGGCGCCGCGACUGGCCGGUGAGGGUCGCCGGGUAGCCGCGACUCGCCGACCCAGAUCUGGGUCGCCGGAGGUCGCGCGACAUCUCACGGAACUUAAUGGUUAUAGAGUAUCUAGGUUCAUCAAUUAUUCAUCCAAUUGCGGCAACACUUGCAGCGGACGUUGUCGUCGCUGCUGCUGCUGUUCAUGUUGCUGGAGAUGAGGAAGGAGGAUGGGAGAAAUUGGAGAAGGAGAAGAGGGAAGGGGCGAGGACGAGGACGAGGACGAGGUUGCGGAUAUGGAGAGAGGCUUGGAGGUGGUGGAGAUGCCGGGGACGGAGCACGAUUUGGUAAAGCGCCCGUGAGGAGGGAGACGAAAUGGGAAUGACAGGCGCUGGUUCGGGAAAGCCAUUGUCUUGUCCCAAUCUGAAUGCCCCAUAUUUCGGCGGAGAGUAUUAUCCUAAUACAGGCUAUAUUAUACGAACGCCUUCAUAUUGUGACUUGACCCCAUUCGCCGAACCCACACUGUAGGUGAUUCUAAUCUCAAUAUUCCAUUCAUUCGCAGUACCAGCUGAGGAGGAACUGCUCGUGCCACAGGCACCGGGGACCUGCUCGUGGUGCACGAGCAGGUGUGCCUCUGCCGCGCCUCUGCUGGUACCGCAUCCACCAUUGCCAUGAGCGGGUCCACCUGUGCGGAUGGCACGAGCGCCGCUGCCACGAGCAUGAUUAUGUCGGCUUCUGCUUUCUUCAUUCAUGUAUCCUCUGCUCAGGCUCGUGCGAUGAUACGAAUUUCGCUUUCCCAAAAGCAAGAAAGAAGCUCCAGAAAGUAAAUCUGGCCAUCUGAAGCCAAGCAAGAUAGCACAAAGCUCAAUGUCAUCUUAAACAUCAUAUGAGAUUGAUUAAUCUGGACGCGGCAUCAUUGAAGCCGAUACAACAGUGGGGAUGCAUGAUCCUGUUUACUGGUUUUUCAUAUGGGGAUCUAAAGUACGGGAGAAUGAAAUACUUUUCAUGCUUUAUGGGAUCAACAAUUGCUGGAGAAAUUGGUGUAUAUGGCUAGACCUCCUGUACUUAAGGAUAUGCUUGCUGGUAGGAGAGGUGAAGUUGUUACGAGCUUAUAUGAGGCCUUUUUCUGGGGUGCUUUCCUUCAUACCUGGAAACUGCUCUGCAGUUUGACUUCUUAGACCGGGCUAAUAGUAAUUCUAUUGACACAACUGAAGAAUGUAGGCAUGUCAUUGUUACAUAUAAUAGUUAUAAAUCCACGUUUCUGAAAGAUCAACAGUAGGUCUUAAUUUGUCCAUCCUUUUUUUUUUUUUUUUUUUUUGGUUGCAUUUUUAAUAGCAUAGACUUAGUUAGACUACAGGAAGAGGUAUAUUCUACCAGCCUCAAUCCAUCUCUUUAGUAUGCUUAUCUCACUUUCCUAGCAUUGUUAAACCUUGCUCCUCAGACUUUCCAUGACAUCUGCAAACACUUCUUUAAUAAGACCGAGUUCAGUUUUAGGCCUUGCAAGAUUGAUCUUCAUUAACUUUAAUACGAAGAUCUUUAUGAACUUGUCUAGUACAGGGCAACUGAGAAGAGAAUGCUUAGCCCAAUCAAUGCGUCCAACCAAAAAAUCCUAUUUCCUUCCAAUUUUGCAAUCUUCCUAUUCAUUACCUGUGGCUCUUUCUUCUCCUGAUUUCUUCCAAACCAAUUCCUUCCCGCUAGCUCUGAAUAAAAUCCCAAAUUGGAUUCCAAAUUGACUGGUUUAGCUUGAGCUUAUCCGUUGUCUUUUAAAUCAUGCAUAUUUAGAUUUGUCUCGAGGCUACUAAAAGGAACAAAAAGAACAAUUCCAGGAAGCAAAGAAAAAGAUAGAGAGGAGGGACCUAGAGUUGUCAAAAUAAGUUAUGAAGCACUAUACUAGAAGAAUGAACAUCAUAUUGGAGGGAAUCCUUGAACAGAACCCAAAAAAGUGAAUCUCAGUCCAGUGUUGAGGCAAUCGGGCCCUGCCAUUUUUUUUUUUUUAAAGACAUGCUGAUUUGGAUCAACCACAAAUGUCAGAAAAACCGCGGAUACAAAAAUAGUAGUUUGCAUUGCUACACUCGUUUUUAUGUGACAUCAUUGAAUUAUAAGUAUGAGAUUGUCUAAAAGAUGAGCUGUCUUGCUCUCCUACCAAAAGAAAAGAUUAUUAAAUCAUGUACCAAAUAUUAGAUCAGACAUUUGGGCACCCUCCCUGUGUAGUUAUAUGGAUGACGGCAGGAUCCGUUUGUAAUCUUGUUUAUUUGGAGAUUGGUAUUUGAGGUCGUCCAAUGAUUUGGGUUUGGUAGUCUUCUAGAACCCUAACCAGCAAGAGUUGCCAAUGCCUUGUUUGCAGCCUAUGCUAUCAAUAGGUCAGCCUGUCUGUAUUCAGAUAUCCGCUAAAAGAGAUCUACAUGAUGCCUGUGUUUUGAUGUCCUAUGUUUCUUGAAAGGAUAAAAUUCUCUUAAUUGAGUGUGUAGCUGCCCAGUGUUUAGACUUAUGUAAGUGAGGAUUCCUAUUUUGACAUCUUCCGUGGAAAUGUGCUUUCUGUUUUCUUUGAAUAUCACUUGCACUUUGCAUGUGCAUUUUAUGUUUUACCACUGCUGCUCCGGUGUUCAAUAUUGAGCUCUUCAUUAAGAAAUUGGCAGCUUGUUUAUGAACUAUUUAUCUCCAGCAUGGAACCAGAGAAGCGGAUGUCUAAUUUGUCAUGCAGAUGGCCAAAGCUGCAGUUCGUGCUCAAGAGAGGGAUCCCUAUAAUGCCUUCGUAAAAUGUUUGAGAGAGAUCAAUUAUGGAAACUCAUGCAUUUUCAGGGUAUGCCUCGCAACAUGGUUUUAGUUCAGUUUUUGCUUCCAAAAUGGUAAUUCCAAGGUCAGAAGUGAGCUAAAGUUUCUCUCUGCCGUCCAUGAAGAUAAGUGACCUCCAAAGAGUACACCCGAGGAGAGCCUUGAAUACUUUAGUUGCUGCUUUAAGGAUCCAUCAACCUUUACACUUGCGAUUGUCGGCAGUGUAGGUCCUACAAUUGCUGUCCCUCUCAUCUUGCAAUAUAUGGCAAUACUCGAUGAUGUAUUGUCCCUCUUUUCUGGGAAGUCCGAGGAAAAGUGAGUGGAGGUUCCAGAGAUGUUAAUUGGUGACACUGGAAGAUUUCAACAAAUCAUAACCAACCUUACGGGAAACUCAGAUUUCAUACACAGAGAAAGGCCGUAACUUUGUCACAGUGCAUCUUGCUCAAGAGGUCAUGGACUUGUUAGAUGUUGAGACCGAGUCAUCAUCGAAGAAUACCUUGAGUGAUUUCCAAGUUGCUGAGAGAUGACUAGCUGGGAGAAAUUCAAGACCAUUAGCCAAGAAGAUAGUGUUUGUCCUUACCCUUCGUUUACCUACCACCCCAUCAAUCUAAUUGUAUCAGUUGAGGAUACGGGAGUUGGGAUCCUGUUUGAGGCCCAAUCUAGUGUUUUUACUCCCUUCAUGCAAUUUGGUCCUUCCAUGUCCCGUACACAUGGAGGGACGGACAUGAGGCUAAGCAUGAGCAAGCAUUUGGUUGAACUCAUGAAUGGAGAGAUUGGAUUUGUGAACAUACCAAAUGUAGGAUCCACGUGUACCUUCACGGUCAUCUUCAAUAAUGGCUGUUCCAAUUUAAAAGAGUACAUGAGCCAGCAAACGAAAAAUCAAUCCAAUUCUGCAAACUUGGAGUUCGAGGGUCAUGAAUGUUUUAGUGGUGGAUUCCAGAUCUGUUUGAGCCAAAGUAUCCAAGCAUCAUGUCAAGAGGCUUGGAAUCCAAGUCGAGAUCGUCUCAGACUUGAAUCAAGUUUUGUCAUUGUUAAAAAAUAGGAACCCCAGAAUCCACAUGGUGCUCACUGAAGAGGAGGUCUGGAACAAUAAUUUGGAUUUGUCAGUUCUUUUUGUCGAUCAGUUAAGGGUUACAGACCAAAAGGUUUCUCCAAAACUCUUCCUUUAAGCGAAAUCCAUUAGCUCAACCCAGAUCAACAAUGUGACUUCUGGUGCUUAUACUCCUGCUGUCAUCAUGAAACCUCUAAGGGCUAUUAUGGUGGCUGCUUCUCUGCAGUGAGCCAUGGGUAAUGUGGGGAACAAGGGAAAUUGCCGCGACGGCAAAGUCUCUGGGUUAUCUCUGCAGCAUCUUCUCCUAGGAAGAAAAAAUUCUAAUUGUUGAUGACACUAAGGCGAAUCUUAAAGUGGCUUCGGGUGCAUUGAAAAAAUAUGGACCCGAAGUGGUCUGUGCAGAAAGUGGGAAAGAGGCGAUUAGUUUGGUUACGCCACCACAAGCUUCUAUGCUUGCUUCAUGGAUAUCCAGAUGCUGAGAAUGGAUGGGUUUGAAGCUACAAAACAAUACAAGACAAGGAAAACA